rnacentral:rRNA from 1 species
GAUGAACGCUGGCGGCGUGCCUAAUACAUGCAAGUCGAGCGAACGGACGAGAAGCUUGCUUCUCUGAUGUUAGCGGCGGACGGGUGAGUAACACGUGGAUACCCUACCUAUAAGACUGGGAUAACUUCGGGAAACCGGAGCUAAUACCGGAUAAUAUUUUGAACCGCAUGGUUCAAAAGUAAAAGACGGUCUUGCUGUCACUUAUAGAUGGAUCCGCGCUGCAUUAGCUAGUUGGUAAGGUAACGGCUUACCAAGGCAACGAUGCAUAGCCGACCUGAGAGGGUGACCGGCCACCCUGGAACUGAGACACGGUCCAGACUCCUACGGGAGGCAGCAGUAGGGAAUCUUCCGCAAUGGGCGAAAGCCUGACGGAGCAACGCCGCGUGAGUGAUGAAGGUCUUCGGAUCGUAAAACUCUGUUAUUAGGGAAGAACAUAUGUGUAAGUAACUGUGCACAUCUUGACGGUACCUAAUCAGAAAGCCACGGCUAACUACGUG